rnacentral:rRNA from 1 species
CUACGGGAGGCACCAGUGAGGAAUUUUGCGCAAUGGGCGAAAGCCUGACGCAGCAACGCCGCGUGAGUGAUGAAGGCCUUCGGGUCGUAAAGCUCCGUCAAGUGGGAAGAACCUAUGUAAUGUUAAUAUCAUUAUAUACUGACGGUACCACUGAAGGAAGCACCGGCCAACUCCGUGCCAGCAGCCGCGGUAAUACAGGGGGGUGCAAGCGUUAUUCGGAAUCAUUGGGCGUAAAGGGCACGUAGGCGGCCUGGUAAGUCAGAUGUGAAAGCCCGGGGCUUAACCCCGGAAGUGCAUUUGAUACUGUCAGGCUUGAGUAUGGGAGAGGGAAGUGGAAUUCCUGGUGUAGAGGUGAAAUUCGUAGAUAUCAGGAGGAACACCGGUGGCGAAGGCGACUUCCUGGACCAAUACUGACGCUGAGGCGCGAAGGCGUGGGUAGCAAACAGGAUUAGAUACCCCAGUAGUC